rnacentral:rRNA from 1 species
UACGGGGGGGGCAAGCGUUGUUCGGAAUUACUGGGCGUAAAGGGCUCGUAGGCGGCCAACUAAGUCAUACGUGAAAUCCCUCGGCUUAACCGGGGAACUGCGUCUGAUACUGGAUGGCUUGAGUUCGGGAGAGGGAUGCGGAAUUCCGGGUGUAGCGGUGAAAUGCGUAGAUAUCUGGAGGAACACCGGUGGCGAAGGCGGCAUCCUGGACCGAUACUGACGCUGAGGAGCGAAAGCCAGGGGAGCAAACAGG